ACUCCUACGGGAGGCAGCAGUGAGGAAUAUUGGACAAUGGAUGGAAAUCUGAUCCAGCCAUGCCGCGUGCAGGAAGACGGCCCUAUGGGUUGUAAACUGCUUUUGUAUGGGAGCAAUAAGGUCUAUGCGUAGACUGAUGAGAGUACCAUACGAAUAAGCAUCGGCUAACUCCGUGCCAGCAGCCGCGGUAAU
rnacentral:rRNA from 1 species